rnacentral:rRNA from 1 species
GACGAACGCUGGCGGCGUGCUUAACACAUGCAAGUCGAACGGAAAGGCCCCUUUGGGGGUACUCGAGUGGCGAACGGGUGAGUAACACGUGAGUAACCUGCCCUUGACUUCGGGAUAACUUCAGGAAACUGGGGCUAAUACCGGAUAGGAAUCCUUGCUGCAUGGUGGGGGUUGGAAAGCUUCGGCGGUUUUGGAUGGACUCGCGGCUUAUCAGCUUGUUGGUGGGGUAGUGGCUUACCAAGGCUUUGACGGGUAGCCGGCCUGAGAGGGCGACCGGCCACAUUGGGACUGAGAUACGGCCCAGACUCCUACGGGAGGCAGCAGUGGGGAAUAUUGAACAAUGGGCGGAAGCCUGAUGCAGCAACGACGCGUGCGGGAUGACGGCCUUCGGGUUGUAAACCGCUUUCAGCAGGGGCGAAGCUUGUGGUGACGGUACCUGCAGAAGAAGCACCGGCUAACUACGUG